CGCAGGGGCCAGCGGCUGUGGUUGUCAGCACUGGGUGGUCUCCUUCCAUGUGGAGGUGAACUAGCCAAUGGGAGGAGGUGAGCAACAAGGAAACCAGACAGCUAUGUUUGUGUGUAUGUGUGUACAGUUUAUAAAAGGAAGUGGCAUUGAGUCACCAUUCUCCUAGAAGCAAACAGACCAUGUUCUUAAUGCUGUUAAGGGGAGGGCAAAGAAAACUCCAGGGGUCCUUUUUGUUUACCUUUUAUCAUUCAGAAUAAUAUUAAUAAUAAUAAAUGUUAUUUAUACCCCACCCUCCCCAGCCAAGACCAGGCUCAGGGCGGCUAACAAUAAUAAAAACAAGUUGAUUAAAAUACAAUUUAAAAAACAAGAUUAAAAUACAACAUUAAAACAUUAAGAUACAGCCUCUUCACAGGAGGAGAAAGGAAAAAGAAAGAGAGGGAGGGAAUCAAAUUGGCUCCAAGCCAAAGGCCAGGCGGAACAACUCUGUCUUACAGGCCCUGCAGAAAGAAAUCAGAUCCCGCAGGGCCCUGGUCUCACGAGACAGAGCGUUCCACCAGGCCGGAGCCAGUGUUGAAAAGGCCCUGGCUCUGGUUGAGGCUAAUCUGACAUCCUUAGGGCCCGGGACCUCUAGGGUGUUGCUAUUUAUGGACCUUAAGGUCCUCUGCGGGGCAUACCGGGAGAGGCGGUCCCGUAGGUACGAGGGUCCUAGGCCGUGAAGGGCUUUAAAGGUCAAAACCAGCACCUUAAAUCUGACCCUGUACUCCACCGGGAGCCAGUGCAGCUGGAAAAGUGAGGACCCCGUGAGGAGCCUAGCUGCAGCAUUCUGCACCCGCUGGAGUUUCUGGGACAGCUUCAAGGACAGCCCCACGUAGAGCGAAUUACAGUAGUCAAGCCUGGAGGUGACCGUCGCAUGGAUCACUGUGGCCAGGUUGGGGCGGGAAAGGUAAGGGUCCAACUGUGGAGGAAGGACAUAGCCAUUGGGGCUAGUAACCCCUGAAAGCCUUCUCCUCCAUGAAUUUCUGCUCUUUCACAGCCAUCCAAGAUGGCGGCCAUCACUGCCUCCUGUGGCAGGGAGUUCCAUAGUUUAACAAUGUGCUGUGUGGAAAAGGACUUACUUAGAUCUGUCCCGAAUCUUCCAACAUGCAGCGUCAUUGUCUGUCUGGGGGUCCUAGUGUUAAGGGGGGGGCUUUCCCCUAUCUGCUUUCUUCCUGCCGUGCCUAAUUUUAUAAACAUCCAUCAUAUGGCCUCAUUCCUCCUAGCAGUGUGCACGAUCUCCUAGCAUCGCAGCAGUAAAACUACUCGCACAUUUGCAAAGCUAAGCAGGGUCCAGUAUGGUUCGCGAUUGGAUGGGGGACUGCGUGUUGAGAUUCCUGCGUUGCAGGGGGUUGGACUAGAUGACCCUCAGGGUCGCUUCCAACUAUACAGUUCCACAAUUGAAUGAGAUUUGAUUGCUGCUCCACCUGGGAAUAAUGCCGUUUCCUAUAUCUCAACGCCCUUCAAACGGCAGAUAUAAAGUAAAGGUAAAGGGACCCCUGAACAUUAGGUCCAGUCGUGACCGGCUCUGGGGUUGCGGGGCUCAUCUUGCUUUAUUGGCCGAGGGAGCUUCUGGGUCAUGUGGCCAGCAUGACUAAGCUGCUUCUGGCGAACCAGAGCAGCACACGGAAACGCUGUUUACCUUCCCGCCGGAGCAGUACCUAUUUAUCUACUUGCACUUCGUGCUUUCGAACUGCUAGGUUGGCAGGAGCAGGGACCGAGCAACGGGAGCUCACCCCGUCGCGGGGAUUUGAACCGCUGACCUUCUGAUCGGCAAGUCCUAGGCUCUGUGGUUUAACCCACAGCGCCACCCACGUUCCCAAAUGGCAGAUACCUUCACACAAAGGACUGUCCUCUGCUCACUUCUCAGCUGGAGCUGUUCCCGAACCUUAGAUCUGCUUUUGAAAACAAAAUACUCUCUUUUCCUGCGUCCUAUUUCCCCCCCUCACCCCCCACUUACUUCUCUCCUCCUGCCGCAUGUUAACGGGCCCGUUUCAAAGGAGAUUUGGUUUCGACAGGGGCAACUGCCCGGUAACUGCGAUGACGGCUCCUGGAGAGCUCUCUCGGCCUGCUGUGGCCGUGCAAAGCUGAGAACUUCCAUUUCUCACAUUUCUUCCUCCGCCUCGGACGGCUGUUGGCUUUUCAACGCCUGGGUUUUGAGAGAGCUGCUGCUGUUGCUACAUCAGCCACAACUGUCAGGGUGAGAAACGUCAAUGGCAUGGCUGAGGAAGUCUGAAAGAAUGCAGCUUUGGGAAGACAGACCUUUUGGUUUUAAAGAUAAACUCAAACAGGCCCAAAUGCUUAGGGCAGGGAUGGCAACUUUUUCUAUCCCAAGGUCUGCAUUCACUUGUGGACAACCUUGGAGAGGGUCGCAUAUUACUGGCUAGUAGCAGCUAGGUAAAGGUAAAGGGACCCCUGACCGUUAGGUCCAGUCGCGGACGACUCUGGGGUUGCGGUGCUCAUCUCGCUUUAUUGGCCGAGGGAGCUGGCGUACAGCUUCCGGGUCAUGUGGCCAGCAUGACUAAGCCGCUUCUGGCGAACCAGAGCAGCACACGGAAACGCCGUUGACCUUCCCGCUGGAGCGGUACCUAUUUAUCUACUUGCGCUUGAUGUGCUUUCGAACUGCUAGGUUGGCAGGAGCAGGGACCGAGCAAUAGGAGCUCACCCCGUCACAGGGAUUUGAACCGCCGACCUUCUAAUCGGCAAACCCUAGGCUCUGUGGUUUAACCCAUAGCGCCACCCGCAUCCCAUAGUAGCAGCUAUCAAGAGCCUAUUAUUAUUAUUAUUAUUAUUAUUAUUAUUAUUAUUAUUAUUCAUGCUCCAUCUUUUCCCUGACAGGGACCCAGGAAGCCAUACAGAUAAAAGUAAGAACAGAUAAAAACACAGGAAAAAGCCCAUCAUUAAAAAAAAAAAAAACCCAAUUAAACAUAGAUCUAAUUAAAGCUAUCUAUCUAAUGUACCUUGGAAGUCGAACGGAAUCCAUUCUGGAAGUCCGUUCAACUUCCAAAACAUUCAAAAACCAAAUCACGGCUUCUGAUUGGCUACAGGAAGCUCCUGCAGCCAAUCAGAAGCCAUGAAAGCCCCGUUGGACGUUCAGGUUCCAAAAGAACGUUCACAAACUGGAACAAUCACUUCCGGGUUUGCUGCGUUCCGGAGCCAAAACGUCCGAGUUCCAGGGUGUUCGACAAUCAAGGUAUGACUGUACUAAAACCAUACAAACAAUUACAAUAAUAACAAUAGGACGCUGUCUCUUUCAUUCAAAGCAGUCAGUUCCCAAAAGCCUGUUGGAACAAUGUUUUCACCUGCUGGGUGAAAGACAGCAAGGAGGGAGCCAGUCUGCCUUAUCCAGGGAGGGAGUUUCAAUUUACAGAUCUUCCAUUUGUAUAUUUGUAUGUUUUAAAGCGAUCCAAGUUGGUGGACCUCACUACCCCUGGCAAGAACAAAUUCCAUAGCUUAUCUAUGUGUAGUGUGAAGAAUUUAAAACAUGACAGUCAACGUGAGUAUUUUGUCAAAGGAAAGAGGUGAGUGACACUCUGUGAAACUCAGAAGCUCACCAGGGAAGCGUUUAGGAAGCUGGCCUCCGCUUGAGUGAAAGACUACAGGCCCAGUAGAGAGAUCAGCAAAGCUUCUGAGACUCAGCUACAGGAGAGAGAGAGAAAGGUCAGCAUCCAUCAUCAGUGUUACCCAUAAGGGCCAUGCUCCAUCUCCAUUAUCGGGGACAGUAUUGUUUAUUUUAUUUUAUUUUUAUUUUAUUUUUUGUAAAUAAUUUUUAUUUGAUUUUUCAAGUGUAAAAUUAUAACAGUAUCAAAUAUAGUGGUACCUCUGGUUGCGAAUGGGAUAAUCAUCAUCAUCAUCAUUAUUAUUAUUAUUAUUAUUAUUAUUAUUUAUUAUUUAUACCCUGCCCAGUUUCCCCAGCCACUCUGGGCGGCUCCCAAUCAAGUGUUAAAAACGGUACAGCGUUAAAUAUUAAAAACUUCCCUGAACAGGGCUGCCUUCAGAUGUCUUUUGAAGAUAGGAUAGCUGCUUAUUUCCUUCACAUCUGAAGGGAGGGUGUUCCACAGGGUGGGCGCCACUACCGAGAAGGCCCUCUGUCUGGUUCCCUGUAACCUCACUUCUCGCAAUGAGGGAACCACCAGAAGGCCCUCAGCACUGGAUCUCAGUGUCCAGGCUGAACGAUGGGGGCUCCGUUCUGGAGCAACGUUCACAACCUGAGAGGAACGCUACCCGCAUCUGUGCACACGCAGGUCGCGAUUUUCUGCUUCUGCGCAUGCGCGUGGCAUCAUUUUGUGCGUCUGCGCAUGCGCGAGCGGUGAAACCCGGAAGUAACCCUUUCCGGUACUUCCAGGUCACCACGGGACGCAACCUGAAAAGACGUAACCUGAACCGAACGUAACAAGAGGUAUGACUGUACAAACUCAGAUUUGGAAAUUUCUCUGAAUCUCUAGACUUCCCAUCAUCUCCUCCAUGGGUCCUAGUGUCAACAUUUUCAACUGCAUAUUCUUUCAUCGUCCAUAUUUUAAAUCUAUCCAUAUUGACCAAAGCUCCCAUCAUCCCUGACCAGUUGGUCAUCCUGGGGCCGAAGGGGAGUUGGUGUCCAACCACAGCUGAAGAACCCUCAGAAGCCUUAGUCCUUGUCGUUGCAUUAUUGUGCUCGUCCCGGGGGGGGGGUUACUGUGAGGCGUGGUCAGAGUCCGGUCCUGGGUCGAGGGUCUGGAGAUUGUCCACCAAGGGCGAAGCGGAGUCCAAAGCAAGAAGCCGGGCGUGGUUGGGAACUCCGGAAAAACAGGUCUGGGUGCUGGCAGAAACAGGUUUCCAACGAUGUUGCUCCCACAACCUGGGACUGGGCUGACUGACCUUUAUCUCCUCUGGGGCCUAGGACAGUCCUGGCCCACAGGUGACUCGCCUCUCCUGGCCUGGAGGCGAGCACUCCUCCUGAUAGAACUUAGUUCCCUCUGCCUCUCUGCCCUGAGCCUCUGCAGCUUAGGAGAGGCUGGAGGGUUACUGGACCCAGAGGCCGCCUCACCUUCCCCUGACAGGGCUGGGAGAGGAGCACCUGCAGUCAAUGGGUCCUCAAUCACCCCUGGAGCCAGAGUGGAUUCAUCUGGUGUCUGCUCCUGAGGAUCCGGCACAGGUGCGGGCCCUUCAGAUUCAAGGCCCUGCCCUGGCUCAGCCGGCCCUGGAGGUGGGGACUCCUGUGCAGGCUGGGAUUCCUCCGGUUCAGCCUCUGAAUCAGAUUCCCAGGCCAUCACAAUUAUUUUCUGCAAGGAACACAACAGCAUCUGCAUGGCAGAACGCUUCCCUGGGGGACAAAUAUUAUGCAAAACAGACAUUUGGGUUUGGCAGAUGUUUCUGUUCUAAUGCCUUGUUUUCCCACUGUGCCAUUCACCCUACUUUCAGGUCAAUUAGAAGAAUGGGGGGGGAUUCUAUAGCAAGAAUGGGGAAAUUGUGGCCCUCCAGCUGUUGGUGGACUCCAUAUUGCAUGCUGACUGGAGAACGUACAAUAUUCAGCUGACAGCCACAUACCCUAAAGCCUGUUGUAGAUUAUUCAUAAUGGCUGCAGAAUGUACAAAAUUCAGUUGAGAUAUAUACAUUCCCCAAAGGAGGAUUAUGUAUAUUGACCAGGAAAUGUGCACAAUUCCUUUUCAUAGACAGAUCAUAUGCACAUUCUCUGUGCGGCCAGGGGGAUUUGCACAAUCGCUAGAUGUUGUGCACAUUAAUCACUCAGCUUAUCAGGGACCCUAAAACUGCCAUUUACUCCUUUGGAAAAAAAAAUAAUCACACGAUUGACAGUGACGGGGAGAAAUUGUAUUCAUUUCUCAUUUAAACUUGCCGAAGUAACGCUUUUUGAAACAAUACAUGAACUGAAACCCAGCCACUGUCUCGAAUUUGAGCUUCUCUGAAUUUUGCGGUGCAGUUCUCCAGAAGAAGAAGAGUUUGGAUUUGAUAUCCCGCUUUAUCACUACCCUAAGGAGUCUCAAAGCAGCUAACAAUCGCCUUUCCCUUCCUCCCCCACAACAAACACUCUGUGAGGUGAGUGGGGCUGAGAGACUUCAGAGAAGUGUGACUGGCCCAAGGUCACCCAGCAGCUGCAUGUGGAGGAGCGGGGAAGCGAACCCAGUUCACCAGAUUACGAGUCUACCGCUCUUAACCACUACACCACACUGGCUCCAGCCCAGUAAUAUGUUGAAAAAUGCAUACACUAGGAUAAAGUGUGCAUAUAAAUGCGUAUAAUACUGAGAAUAACAUACAUAAAGGCAUUGGGGGGGAUUUUGCCUUGCAGAAAUGCGUAUAUUUAAGGCAAAAUAGCAUGCAAAAUGUACACUUAGAUGCUGAUAGAUUUUGAUGAGGGCUUUUUUAAAAAAUGCAAAAACGAAUGUGGCAAUAUGGAGAUCUGAACAUAGGAAUUGCAAAAUGAGAAACCGGAAGAAACUGCAAUUGACAGAUCCCUCCAUCCGUAGGCAAUUGUGUGGAUAGGGUCAUACGUCAAUGGCCACCACCGCCGCAUCAUGCCUAAAAAUGUGCAGCCACGGUCAGAUGUGCGCAGGGAGCAUUGAAAUCAUGCAGUUCCUAUCCUUAAAAAAAAAAAGAAAAGAAUUCACUUUUGCAGACAUUCAGGGCUGAAGAAUGCAAUAGAGCUACCUCUUUGGAAAGAUGAACACUCUAUAAACCUUCAGAGGGUCCGAAUCCAGGUCCUUUACGCACAUAAAAUACCAUACCCCCUUCUCCCCACAUUCCCUCCCCCCCCCAAACAUACGCAAAGAAUAGAUUUGGCUAUGAUUGCACCCAGGAAUGAACUGUUUGAUUUUCACCCGUUUCCCCGCAGCCUGCCAAGUAUUUCCUCUCCCUUCCAGAGACUUUUCUUUAAAUCGCAAACAUCUGUUAGAUGACUUGAUUCCCAGUGUGUUCAUAUCAAUGAGUAUCGGGCCUCUAACGCACAGCAGCGAGCCCCCCUCGACUCCACUCCACACACACACUCUCUCUCUCGCCGAUGUGAGCCUCUUCCAGGGAAACUUGCUGCGCACAAAUUGUCCUAUAAACACUUUGGAGGCUUUCAAUAAAGGCUUGCGCAGCCCUCGACCGAUGCUCUUGGAAUGCUGCUCUUCAAGGAGUAAAUGAGGAGCAGGCAUCCCGUGUUCCUUGCCAAAUCCACCACCUUCUCCACCCCCCCCCCCAGUCUUGCUCAGGAUAUCGUGAGCUGCUGUGUCAAGGUGCGGCGCUUGCUCCUUACGCGGUCCAACUCUCCCUACGCAACCAAGCCGCCUCUCUGCCAGUUCCAGCUGCGAAUCGUGGCCAACCCAAGAGACCGUGAGAGUCGAAAUCAGAGCCCCGCUUCUCCAACUGUCGGGCCACAACUUGUGCGGCACAGAAGCACAUUGGAGCAAGCACUGUGGACUGUGAGGGGAGAGACUUUGUCAGGCAAGGCCUCCUUCCACCUGCCUUGCCACAGCCUCUAGUCUCUGCUUCUCAAUUCGUAUUGUUUUAUUAGUGACAGCAGUCACAAAAUUAAAAGAUGCCUGCUUCUUGGGAGAAAAGCAAUGACAAACCUAGACAGCAUCUUAAAAAGCAGAGACAUCACCUUGCCGAUAAAGGCCUGUAUAGUUAAAGCUAUGAUUUUCCCAGUAGUGAUGUAUGGAAGUGAGAGCUGGACCAUAAAGAAGGCUGAUCGCCGAAGAAUGGAUGCUUUUGAAUUCUGGUGCUGGAGGAGACUCUUGAGAGCCCCAUGGACUGCAAGAAGAUCAAACGUAUCCAUUCUGAAGGAAAUCAGCCCUGAGUGCUCACUGGAAGGACAGAUCCUGAAGCUGAGGCUCCAAGACUUUGGCUACCUCACGAGAAGAGAAGACUCCCUGGAAAAGACCCUGAUGUUGGGAAAGAUGGAGGGCGCAAGGAGACAGGGACGAGAGAGGACGAGAUGGUUGGACAGUGUUCUUGAAGCUACCAGCAGGAGUUUGACCAAACUGCGGGAGGCAGUGGAAGACAGGAGUGCCUGGUGUGCUCUGGUUCAUGGGGUCACGAAGAGUCGGACACGACUAAACGACUAAACAACAACAACAAAAUUGGUUAUAGUUUAGAAAUUAUUUAUUGUCUAUGCAGAACUGGCUAAACUGACAUACAAACUGUGAGAUAAGGACAACUGUGAUUUCAAAGAAGAAUGGGAACUUUUUACAAAUUACUUAAAAAGACAACAAAAUGAACUGGACUCCUUGGCAGGUUUUGAAUAAACAUACACAAAUUUAUUGAUUGUUAAUACAGUAGACUGUUAAUAUAAAGAUUUAUACACUUUUACAAUAUGCAGAGAAUAUGUGUGGAGAAAUGAGAGAGAGGAACUGAGGGAAGUCUCUGGGGAGGUGGGGGGAAGGGGGAAAAUAAUGAAUAGGAUAUGUUUAGAUAUGUUGUUAUGUUGAAAUUGCUAAAAAAAAUUAAAAAAAAUAUUUAUUGUAACAGUGGAUUUCUGCUUAACUUUUAUAUGUUGAUUUUUUAUUUUAUACUAUUCUAAUGAUUGUUGAAUGUUACUUUGUUGAUGAAGGUUGCUUAUUUUAAAGUUAUGUUUUAUUAUCACAUUUUUGUAUUGCAUUAGAUGGUUAUAACAUGUACAUUUGUUUCUUUCUUCAGCUUGUAAACCGCCUUGAGUAUUGUAAGAUAGAAAGACGGUAUACAAAUUAAAAAUGAUGGUGAUGAUGAUGCCUUCCUUUUCGGAUCUUUCUGCGAAACGCUGCUACAAGGUUGCAGGGUCCAUUUCAUAGCACUAAUAUCAGAGAUAAGCUCUGCCUGUUGCCUUUUCAACAGCAAGUGGAAGCUUAUCUCUGAUUUAAGUGCUGUGGGACCACAGCACUAAGAUAAGGGACAAGCCUUUGCCUGAUGUCUUUUAAAGAGCAAGCAGAGAUUUAUCUCUGAUCUUAGCACUGUGGGGCAACAGAACUAAGAUUGGAAUCUUAGUUGCCCACGGUGCUAAGAUCAGAGACAGGCCCGACCCUCCUUCCAGCUUGAAAUCUGAAUCACCUGACAUUGUGACAUGAGCCGAUCGACAGGUAGGUGGUUCCACUCACCUGUCAAAAUAUGGUCCACAGUGGAUUGGCGCACAGGCUGAGAAAGUUCCCCUGCAGCCAAGCUGGUGUAAAAAGUAUCACUCUUCUUUCCUUUGGACCACAUCAGCAAGGCCAAGAAGGGGGUCUUGUCAUCUGGGCAGCCCAGGACCUCCAGACACACUGCCCAGGCUUGUGCUCCAGGGACGUCACUUUGGUGGUGCUAACACAGCGGUUCAGCUUCACCCCUGGAGACACACUCCAUUGACUCUCUAGACAGACAGACAUCAACAACAAAGUCAUGCUCAGAGCAGAACUGAGAUUAAUGUACCUGAGAAAGUUAUGUCCAUUCCUCCCAAUGCGUCUACUCUGAGUAGGACUUCACCAAAUACAAUCGCACAUUGGUUCUCAAACGCCUUGGUACUCAAACGUUUUGGCUCCCGAACGCCGCAAACCCGGAAGUAAGUGUUUCUGUUUGCGAACAUUUUUCAGAAGCCAAACAUCCGAUCUGGCCUCCACUUGAAGCUCCUGCAGCCAAUCAGAAGCCGCGCCUUGGUUUACGAACGGUUUUGGGAGUCGAACGGACUCCCGGAAUGGAUUAAGUUCGAGAACCAAGGUGUUGUUGUUGUUGUUUAGUCGUUUAGUCAUGUCUGACUCUUUGUGACCCCCUGGACCAGAGCACGCCAGGCACUCCUGUCUUCCACUGCCUCCCGCAGUUUGUUCAAACUCAUGCUGGUAGCUUUGAGAACACUGUCCCACCAUCUCGUCC